UGGCAAGAAACUGCUCUCCUACGACGC
rnacentral:piRNA from 1 species